rnacentral:hammerhead_ribozyme from 1 species
GCACUGCUGAGGAGUUCCACAAUAGGACGAAAAGGCCAUCCAGUGC